CCCUCAGAGGGGAUGAACGUGGGGUGCUUUGUCAGGACUCCCUGAGGUGGGGGUCUGAGUUGGCUCUGGCAAUGAGGUUAGCCAAGAUGUUGCCCCUUAGGCCCCAUAAAAGCAAAGUCUCCCUUUUGGUCACAGUGCUGAGGUGCGCAGCAGGGCAGAGCAGUCCCGGUGUGUCUCGUGUCACUUGUCUUUUGUGUAUUGUGUGUUGCCUGGAUAUCUCAUGUCUCUUAUCUUAGCCCUGUGAGGGGCCUCUCAGAAACCUUUCCUAGCAUCCGUGAUCUCAGCGUUCCUCGCCCUGGCACUCAUGCCAUAGAUCUUUUGACUGGGGAGCUCACACAGGCAUCAGAAAUGCAUCUCUCUUUAGAAGCGUCCAGUCAAAUGUCUUGUCAUGUCUUGUUCUGAGCUGUACAGACAGCCAUGCUGCGCAAUGAUCCAUUAUAGCAGAGUAGGACUUGUAAGGAUGUGAGGUUAGGGAGAGGAUUCUGACUGUAGGAUUCUCGGGCAUCCAUCUUUGCAGUUUUUGGAAUAAAUCAUUCUGUUUGCAUCUUCUUCCUCCAGGGUUCUCUGAGCCUCAUCAGCUCGCCAUCAGCUUCAACUCUUCUUCUUUUGCAUUCUCUCAGUCCUUGCAGCCAUUUUCCUUGCUAAGAGAUUUCCGUUCCUGUUGUGUCCCCAGUGUUUGUCACGUCUUGUCUGUCCUGUGUCACGGGUGUCUGCACACAUUUGUGCUGGAGCUGCUGUUCUGCCCUGCUGCAUAUCCUGGUGCAAUAUGAGAAGUCUCAGGGACUUGGAAUUUGUAAUGUGUAGUUGGAUUCUAGAUGGGAUUUGUAGAUGGACACAGGAUACGUGGAGCCCAUAAGUUAUCCUGCAGCCCUUUCACUUUCAUCCUAACUUUCUUUUAGUUGCAGAAGGAUAAAUCCAGGGCAGAGCCCCCCAUUCUGGGUGAGGGGAUUCCCCUGUGAAGGUCAGUCACUGUUUGUCUCUGCAGAGGAAGCAUAAAUUGUGGCUGCUGCAGCUCUGCUCUUUGUCUUUAUUUUUAGGAAGUCAAGGCAGAGAGCAGCUGUCAAGGCUGAGUGGGCAAGAUGGACUGCUUGCCAUCUAUCCUAGCCCAGCAUGCCCAUGCCAGGUGCUGUCGCUGCCCUAGGCAUGCCGGGGAAGAGAGGAGGGCAGGUGACUCGGAGUUUAGGCGGGCUGAUU